rnacentral:rRNA from 1 species
CCCUUAGAUGUCCUGGGCCGCACGCGCGCUACACUGAUGCAUGCAACGAGUUUAUAACCUUGGCCUGAAAGGUCUGGGUAAUCUUUUGAACGUGCAUCGUGAUAGGGAUAGAUUAUUGCAAUUGUUAAUCUUGAACGAGGAAUUCCUAGUAAACGCGAGUCAUCAGCUCGCAUUGAUUACGUCCCUGCCCUUUGUACACACCGCCCGUCGCACCUACCGAUUGAAUGGUUCGGUGAAGAUCUCGGACUUCGAUAUUUAUUCUUUAUUGAGUUUAUAUUGUGGGAAGUUAUCUAAACCUCAUCAUUUAGAAGAAGGUGAAGUCGUAACA